ACUACUUUUUAGAUAAUAUUAUAAAAUUUUAAUUUUUUGAUUUUUAAUAUUUUAAUGGUAAAAUCCCUCAAUUAUGUUUACUUAAUGUAAAAACCCUUAAACUAAAGAUUUAGCAUUAGUAAUGGUAAUUAUGAUCUGGUAGGGUUGAAUUCAUUAAAUAAAGCUAGUUUGGGGAUCUUUCGUUAAAUACUUAGUUUGAAGAUUUUUAACCAACACAAACUUAUUUAAAGGGUUUUAACGUUAAAAGUCCUAAUUAAAAUUGAAGUUUAUGUCCCUUCAUGAUAAUCACAAUACUAAAAGCCAGAUAUCCUGAGUUUUUAGGCUGUCCACGUCCCCAAAGAAAAUCGACCAAUGGGAAGUUGUUUUUUUGUCACAUCACACACGGAUGUGACACGUGUCUCUUCUUUAAAAAAAAAUUUAGAUUCGUGACUUCUAUUGGGGUCAUACGGGAAAAGUUUUGGCCCGUUAAAAAUUGGUUCUUUCGUCCUUCUAUCUUCUUCACGAUGCGUUGUUCCUAAGGUUCCUCGUAUUUCCUCGAAGCUUUGAUAAGUUCCAGCGUUAAUGAAUGCGAGUGAGACGAAUGUUGCGAAGAAGCUCUCUGUCAAGCUUCGAUUUGUCGUUUCGUCUUUGAUUCUUAUCGGUGACGUUACGAGAUUCCUUGAUUCAUCCCCUUUAAGAAACUUCUUAACUCCAUCAAGCACGAUGUCUCAUUCAAUGGGUGGUGGAUCUCCACCUAUAAAAAGGUCAGCCUUCAUACCCUGAUCAUCAUCCUCACACUUCCUAACAGUAUAAACUUUUUUAACACAUUUUUUUAUAGAAAUUUUGAUCGAGUUCAGACAUUGAAACAAAGUUGAUCUCAGCUGAUAAUGGCAAGGAGACUCCAACUUCUUUGAUUCUUACAACUUCCAAUUCAAAGGUUUUUUAUUUCACAAUCUUUUUCUCUUGCCUCUGACUAUAAAAAAGUGAUAUUCUUUAUGGAUUCCUGAUAGUUUAGUCCAAGAUAUUCUCUUGAAAUGUUUGAUUUUGUGUUUGUGAUCAAGUUUCGAGAGAGAUUGUUGGACCCAAGAGAAGCAAGCAUGAUUAAGCUGGAAGCAAUAAAAACUUAACGGAGACGUGUAUGUGGGAUAUCACAAUGUUGAAGUUGAUUCUUAGAUGCAUCAACGUGGUUAGCUCCAACACGAUCGUAGCCAGUUGAUUGGUAGCCUUGAGGUGUCAAUCGAUACAAAGCUUCAAACAUCCACUGUGAAGAUUGACAGUGUUUAUUUUGGCCACUAUAUCUCUCUAACAAUCAUGAUUUUGAACUGGCAUGAGAGGUUAAUCCGAGUUCGGAUUGAUCGAGUAUGCUGUUAUACGCUGAUAAAGAUUUGAUUCCCUUUUUCUAUCGCAAUGUCUCUUUUAGUAUAUCAAUAUAUGCGUCUAUAUUUCUACUUCAGUGACCCAUAAUUUUAUUAGUCGGCAGACCGUUGCUGCCUAACUGACUCUAAAAGCUUUGUGCUGACAGGUAAAGGGCAUCUGAAGUACUUCUACAAUCCUGUGUAUACACAUUAAAAGUUGGUUAGUAUCAGUUUGAGUGGUACUCCAUCAGUGGCUCUUCUCUGGGACCCAUGAAACAGACCGACUGCUGCAGAGGCUCUGUACGUCCCGUUCUUUCAGAUUCAACCGCAAGUGUGGCCAGAGAUAGUCCCCCUGAAACGACGAUACCAAUGGGAUAAAGUGUUGUAGUCGGAUUUUUUGAAUACCUUAAGUUGAGUAGCGGUAUGAACUAGAGCAGAGUGAUCUGCGGCCACUACAUCUUGAAGAAUAAAAAUGGAAGGAGUGAGGCCAAAAAAAAAAAAAGACAUGCGAGGGAGUGACGGAGUGAGGGAGAGAGGGGGAGAGAGGUGAGUGCAGGUAAAAAGUAAAAUCAUGUUGUGAACAUUAAUCUAAAAAGUAAAAUCAUGCUGUGAACAUUAAUCUGCAUCGAAGUUAAUUUAACUGCUUCCACCGUAAUAUUUUAUUUUUCUUUUGCGUUGGUUUUAUUCUGGAUGAAGAAUAGAAAGAUUAAUCAAGUGUUGUGAUGCAGAUGUAGCUAUCAUUGGAUAACUAUUUACUUCAGGUUUGGAAGAUCACCAUGAGGAAUUUCCCCUGAGAAGUUGUUUGCAGGGUUCAAGACUCUAAGUCUGGCCAAACUUGAAAGAGAGGCUGAGAUGCUUCCCUUGAGUUUUUUAAAUAUCAAGAACCUUAAGAUUCUUUAACUCCUGGAAAAUCGCUGGUAAUGGACCCGGAAAGUGAUUAAGUGUAAGAUAGAGAUGAGUCAGGUUCUUGAGGUUGAUGAUAGAAACUGGCUUUUGAUUCUAUCUGUAACAAAUAAUUCUUUAGCUGGAGAAUAUUUGCUGAUAAAAUAUGUGUUGUGUUGUGAAACUGGAAAGAUACGCGGGCAAUGUAUAGCCGGUAAAAAAUAUAUGUUUUACAGUCCAGAAAAAAAUUGACGGAGCCAUUAACAAAUCGUGAUCAUUUCUCUUCGUUUAAGUUUUUGAUUGUUCUGUUAUUUGAUUCUUGCGUGAAAAAAUUCCCACUGGUGUAACAAUUUCUUUAUAAGUGAAAAUAGGAAUAUAUUG